UACGUAGGGUGCAAGCGUUAAUCGGAAUUACUGGGCGUAAAGCGUGCGCAGGCGGUUUGUAAGUCUGUCGUGAAAUCCCCGGGCUCAACCUGGGAAUUGCGAUGGAGACUGCAAGGCUAGAAUCUGGCAGAGGGGGGUAGAAUUCCACGUGUAGCAGUGAAAUGCGUAGAGAUGUGGAGGAACACCGAUGGCGAAGGCAGCCCCUGGGUCAAGAUUGACGCUCAUGCACGAAAGGCGUGGGGAGCAAACGAGGAUUACGAA
rnacentral:rRNA from 1 species